GAUGAACGCUGGCGGCGUGCUUAACACAUGCGAGUCGAACGGUGAAGGCGGAGCUUGCUCUGCUGGAUCAGUGGCGAACGGGUGAGUAACACGUGAGCAAUCUGCCCCUGACUCUGGGAUAAGCGCUGGAAACGGCGUCUAAUACUGGAUACGAGCUGCGAAGGCAUCUUCAGCAGCUGGAAAGAACUUCGGUCAGGGAUGAGCUCGCGGCCUAUCAGCUUGUUGGUGAGGUAACGGCUCACCAAGGCGUCGACGGGUAGCCGGCCUGAGAGGGUGACCGGCCACACUGGGACUGAGACACGGCCCAGACUCCUACGGGAGGCAGCAGUGGGGAAUAUUGCACAAUGGGCGAAAGCCUGAUGCAGUAACGCCGCGUGAGGGACGACGGCCUUCGGGUUGUAAACCUCUUUUAGCAGGGAAGAAGCGAAAGUGACGGUACCUGCAGAAAAAGCGCCGGCUAACUACGUG
rnacentral:rRNA from 1 species